UUCCAUUUCUGGUUCCCCUAUUACAUUCUCUGAUUGUAGAAUUCUUUCACAUUCCCAAAAAAAAAAAAAAAAAAAAAAAUUCCGGUUCCUUCUUCCUUGCCUCAAAUUUCAGGGUAGAACCCAACAAGUCGUUGCCCAGGCCAUUCGUUGCUGUUCCCUCAAAUAUUCAGUACUUGAGCCCAUGCUAUAGAAUAUAGUACCCAGACUUAUAGCUAUUGCAACAUAUACAGCAAGACGUAACCAGUAAUUGCUCAUGUCGCGGUACAUAUGCAGGGAAGAUCUUCUUAUAAGAAUAAGGCACUGAGUAAGGAAUGCAGCAUGGAUUCUCUUUUUCCCUAUUGCACCAGAAUCCUGUAUUUCAUGUAGAAGGCCAAAAUAUACUGUUUCACCAGAAGACAGAAGACAGAGGUUAUUGAAAAGUUGAAAAACUUCACUGCUAGGCUGAUGGAUAGAGGCUACAAUUGUUCUCUGAACGCCGUCCCUUAUGUUUAGACUGGCAAUUCUGCUCAUAACAUAAUAAGAAGCUGCACUAUCAAGCCCACUAGUUGGUUCAUCAAGGAAGAGAAGUUUUGGUCGUGUUAUAAUCUCAAUGCAAAUGCUUAGUCUUCUCUUUUGUCCGCUGCUAAGGCCUUUCAAAGUCCACCCCCCAAUCCUUGUAUGGAUGGCAUCUUGUAGACCCAUUUCUCUUAGUGUAGAGUCUGCUCUGUCCUUCUUCUCUUCCAUGGUCAUGGAAUCUGGAAGUUGGAGUUGGCAUGAGUAAUACAAAGCUUCUCCGGCUGUUAAAGUCGACAACAUAGCAUCAUCUUGCGUGACAUAUGCCUGUUUUUGCAUGUGAAGGGAGUGAGGUUAGUGAAACUCUUGCUUUAAUAUUUAGGACAUAGCUUUUUGGAAUUUUCUUACUGAUGUUCCAUAUGCUAGUGCUUGUCUGUGCCCGUUGAUCAGAAUCUUCCCUGUUUGUUGCAUGUUUGAACCCAAUCUUCCUGCAAUAAAUCAAAGAAUGCAUUACGACUGCUUAAGUCUUAAACCAAUUAAUCAACCCAACAAAUGAUAGAAAGUUAGUUCCCUUUCACUUAAUUCCUCCUUUAAUCUUCAGCAUCAAGAGGAAAACAAACAUGUGAUGCCAAUAAACACCUUCGAACUUCAUGUCUAUAGCAUGGUCCUUUUUUUUCGUAAAAUGGUUUUGUAGUUUUCUUACCAGUUAUCAAACUACUCAAAACAGGAGAACUGAACAUCAAGAUAAAGAUCAUUCCAACUGAAAAAGUCCAAAACAUGCUUGAAUAUCAUUUGAAAGAGGGUGCAAUACAAAAUCAGUAUCAUCCAUCAUAUAACUUGCUUUGAGAUUCAUUUACAGAUGUGUCUUAAAAAAGUGGAACCUGCUAAAGCAUCAAGGAGUGUGGUUUUGCCGCAUCCUGAAGGACCCAUUAUAGCCAAAAGCUGUCCUGGUUUGGCACACCCAGUCAGACCCUGCAAUAUUGGCUUUUUAUUCGUUCCACUUCCAACGGUCACCCACAAGUCCUCCCAUGUCAUUGAAACCCCACCAUCCCCUCUCUGAGUUCCUUUGCUGCUAUCUGUUGGCUUGAUAGCUGUGUUCUCAAAUGGAGUGAUAAAGUCUAGACUGGUUUGUAGUUGUACAACUUUAGAGCUAUUAUCUGGUGCUACAGGUGGAUGAAGAUGGGAAGCCAUGGAAUAGAAAUAUUUUCUGUGUGUCUGUAAUAGAUAUUUGUGCUGUCUAAUUAUUCUGAAUUGCAGAGGAUGACUUUAUAGGAGCAGCUUGUGGCUGCUAAUGACAACUAGUCAAGGUAGACAAGGUGUGUGCCACGUAUAUUAUACUCCAUCACAUAAAUUUGCUCAAAACCCAACUAAAGCUACAAAAAUUUGCCAGUAUCA